rnacentral:rRNA from 1 species
UUUUCCUACGGGACGCAGCAGUGGGGAAUAUUGAGCAAUGGGCGCAAGCCUGACCCAGCAACGCCGCGUGAAGGAAGAAGGCUUUCGGGUUGUAAACUUCUUUUAUUGAGGACGAAACAAAUGAUGGUACUCAAUGAAUAAGCCACGGCUAACUACGUGCCAGCAGCCGCGGUAAUACGUAGGUGGCAAGCGUUAUCCGGAUUUACUGGGUGUAAAGGGUGUGUAGGCGGGACUGCAAGUCAGAUGUGAAACCCAUUGGCUC